AUGGCUGCCGCGCUGCCUCAGUCCCACCAUGGGUUCUUCCCACACCUGUUCUUCUUCUUGGCCUUGCAGUGUGGACUAGCAGUGGAGGUGAAACAGGAACCACCCUUUGCAAGCAAAAGGCAGAAUGAGGACCUGGAGCUGACCUGUGAUGUUGACGAAGAGAAUUAUGAUUUCUAUUGGUACCGCCAGCUCCCUGGACAGACGGAGCUCCAGUCCAUUGGGACUUAUAAAGCCUUUGGAGAAGACUUUGAGAAGCCAGGAGACAAGCCAAGGGACCGUCUGAGUGGCACACGGAGUGGCAAAACAACAUCUUUAGCCCUGAAGAAGCUCGAACUCAAUGACACUGGACUGUAUCUGUGUGCUGCAAAAGACACAGUGAUUCUAGCAGGAACAGCAGCUGGCAGAGAACUGGCUGCCAAAUAA